rnacentral:rRNA from 1 species
GACGGAAGGUGCAAGCGUUGCUCGGAAUCACUGGGCGUAAAGGGUGCGUAGGCGGCCGUGCAAAUCUGGCGUGAAAGCCCCGGGCUCAGCCCGGGAAGUGCGCUCGAAACUGCGCGGCUCGAGUGCCGGAGGGGAGAGUGGAAUUCCUGGUGUAGCGGUGAAAUGCGUAGAUAUCAGGAGGAAUACCGGUGGCGAAAGCGACUCUCUGGACGGCAACUGACGCUGAGGCACGAAAGCGUGGGGAGCAAACAGG